UACGAAGGGGGCUAGCGUUGCUCGGAAUUACUGGGCGUAAAGCGCACGUAGGCGGGUCGUUAAGUCGGGGGUGAAAUCCUGGAGCUCAACUCCAGAACUGCCUUCGAAACUGACGAUCUUGAGUUCGGGAGAGGUGAGUGGAACUGCGAGUGUAGAGGUGAAAUUCGUAGAUAUUCGCAAGAACACCAGUGGCGAAGGCGGCUCACUGGCCCGAUACUGACGCUGAGCCGCGAAAGCCAGGGGAGCGAACGGG
rnacentral:rRNA from 1 species